rnacentral:lncRNA from 1 species
GUCUUCUCUCAUCAAUCAUUCUGGCACACUGGAGCUGUGGCUGCCUUGGAGCCAGUUGCAGGAAAGGAGGAGCCCACAGAUAAUGGAGACAGCUGCUGCCCUGCUUCAAAUCACUGGUCUCCAGCCCGUCGCCUAACACCCAAUUCUUCAGAGAACCAAGCUCUCCCACCUACCUCAUAAUCCACAAAAUGGCUAUUGCAUUGCAGCAAAUUCACUGGUAUCUGAGAUGAAAUGUCGUAAAUCAAGGGUCAGAAGAAACAAAUAACAUCCAGUCAAGUUGAAGGCAGCUUGGGAUAUCAUAAAAUGUCCAGAUGGAAGCAAAACCUGGUUGUCUGGAAAGCAAAGGGUCUCCAUGACUUGUGCAGAGACAGAACUGAAGUCAGUGGUGACAGGCAUUUACAUAAGAGGCACCUCAGUGGCAGAGUAUUUACUACAGCUUUAUCAAACAGGCACACAGCAUUACUGAAAUUCAGCACAUGGAAUUUAUUCUGAAGAGCAGACUUUAAAUGAAGAAGCAGCA